UAGGAUAAAAUUGUAACUUUGAUCUAAUUAAUUAAAUAGAUAAUUAAUUAAAAUUGUCUAAAAUUUAUAUGACUUGUUUAUUAAAUUUAUGGACUAUAGUUAUAAUUUAUUUAUUUAUUUUUUAAAAUAAAUAAAUAAAUAUUAUUAUAUUAAAAAUUUAACAUUUCAGUGUAAAAGUUCAUAUUAUGAGAGCUUGUGUUUUCUGAGUAGAGAAACACUUUCGAGAGCCUCAAGUGUUUUUGUAAGAAAGGUAAAUAGUUAGCACUCAAACAUUUCCCUUCUCAAACUUUUAAAACGGUUUUGAGAUUUUUUUAUUUUUUUAACAUUUUGGAUAUCGUUAGAGAUCGAACACUUAGAUGAUUUGUGUUUUCCGACAAAUCCAACAAAAAAUAAUGAUCUCAUAUUUUUACUGCAGAAAAAACGUAAUUCAUGUUAGUGAAAAAUUUAUUUUUCUAUUUCUUCUGCUGUAUUCAAUCCGAUUCAAACCCAACAUCAAUUACAUCCCUCAAAAUAAUUUUCUUUUGAUAUGCUAUGUAAAUUCUUAAUUGGCUGCAUUUUGUAAUAUUUUAUUUUAAGAAAUGUCAAAAUUGAUCAUUUUCUGAGCAUCUACCUAAUGCAGCAAGGUGGGUGAAGCUUCCCCGACCGACGAGACUCAUCAACAGACCACAGACACAUAAUCCUAGCCAGACAUUUCCUUUCUCUAAGAUCUAAUAACAACGCUCACUUUUUCGUCUUCAUGCUUAGAUCCUCUCGCAGAUGACAGAUUGAUAGUUUGCAUGUAGCAAGGUUUCCUUUUUCUUCCAAAUAUUCAAUGUCUAAAAAUAAUUUUGAUAUGAAUUAAUAUUGUCAAUAUGAGUUUUUUGUCUAGAAAGGCAAAAACCAACAAUUUAAUACAAUUACAAAAGGAAAACACCUUAUGGGAUCUAUCAGCACAUCAUCAAAAGCAUGUGUUUGAUCAAAGGACACAAGCAAAAAGAAUCACGAGCGAGAAUCUAAUAGGAAAAAAAAAAUCUUUGGUAAGUGUUAACUGAUGUGGCUUGAAUUUUGGAUAUGAUUUCCUAAAAGUUCCGCAAGCUGAAAAGAGUGUGUUUUGUGAGAUUACGGUGAGCUCUGAGGUCGGGCAGCUCAUAAUCUUACAGCAACCUCUAGAAGAGAAAAACAAAAUAAAGAAAAAAGCAAACAAUUGAUGGUGGACGAAAAGAUCAAAAUCAGACUGCAUGGCCACCGUCGCAGGAGCAGCCACCAGAGCCGCUGUUGAUCUCUCCGGGUUGGCGUAGUUUAGCGCUGAGACAGUAACACAUGAGACCUAUCAAUAGCAUGAAACCGCAAGCUGAGGCUAUAGCUUCUAACCAUUUCAUGUUAUGCUUUGUCUGCACAGAAUUGCUGCUCAUCACAAAAUGGCUUUGUUAUCGUAUAUCUGCGUUUUAGCCAAAAGGAAAUUAAUGUGGUGCAUAUGGUCUGAGCUUGAAAGAGGCCAAAAUAACGUGGACCAGCCUGUAAAUAUUAAAUACCUACAUUUGAUGAAAGUUCUCUCUUUUAAAGCCACACAUUUUUUAUUAAGAAAAAUUACUAUUUAGUCCAUGGCAAUAUGGGAAAACUUAUUAGUU
rnacentral:lncRNA from 1 species